UCAGGAUGAACGCUGGCGGCGUGCUUAACACAUGCAAGUCGAACGGAGUUAGUGGAAUGCGGCUCGGUCAAAUGAAAUUAAACUUAGUGGCGGACGGGUGAGUAACGUAGUGAGCAACCUGCCUUUCAGAGGGGGAUAACGCAGAGAAAUUUGCGCUAAUACCGCAUGACAUGUCGGAAUCGCAUGGAUCUGACAUCAAAGGAGCAAUCCGCUGAGAGAUGGGCUCGCAUCCGAUUAGAUAGUUGGUGAGGUAACGGCUCACCAAGUCGACGAUCGGUAGCCGGACUGAGAGGUUGAACGGCCACAUUGGAACUGAGAUACGGUCCAGACUCCUACGGGAGGCAGCAGUGGGGAAUAUUGGGCAAUGGGCGAAAGCCUGACCCAGCAACGCCGCGUGAGGGAAGAAGGUCUUCGGAUUGUAAACCUUUGUCUUAUGGGACGAUAAUGACGGUACCAUAGGAGGAAGCCACGACUAACUACGUGCCAGCCGCAGC
rnacentral:rRNA from 1 species